GAAACUAUGAGAAUGAUCCAGAAGUAUACGAACAUGAGGAAAAAGCUGAAGCAACGAUGGCCGUAACCAUAACCAUAAAGCGAAAAGCCUUCUGGCUCCGAAAGCAUUCGCCGUCUCAACUGAUGGGCACGAACCAAAUGGCGCGGUUUUAGUAGCAAUUCGAGUCGAUGGCAUUGGCGGUAUAACUGGAUAGUAAAACUCAAAAAGUUGGAAGCAUUCGGUGCCUCUUCU
ensembl:ncRNA K10D6.8 ncRNA